AGUAAGGUAGUAAUAAUGGAAAUAAAAUAUUCACUGGGCCAAAGACGAGAGCGGGAUGGGUCGGACGUCUAGAGCAGCUGAUUGGAGGUUUGAAUUUCAAACUGACACUUUGAGCGGGACAGUCCAGUCGGGACCAAUUAGGUCUGCAGUCUCUGAAGUGGCACCUGUUGACAUUGUGCAGUGGAAGUUGUCUGGAGUGAAGAAUGACAUCUGGUUCCAACUCAAAAAGACAGAGGUUACCUUCAACCAAAAUGAAAGAUCAUGUACAGCUGGGAACUGAAGAGGAAGAGGAGGCAGCUGAGCCAGAAGACAUCAGAGUGGCUCGAGGAUUUCUUAAAAAUGUUGCUCUGUACCAGGAGAGCUCUGCAGCCUUGAUCCACCCGUCACAGAAGGCUCUUCAGGAGCUCUUUCCCAAUAGUGGCUUGUUCCUGUCAUCCUUCAAGCUUGCCUCCAUAAUGCACCAAUGUGACCAUGACAGCCUUCGACUUUUCCAUCUCCUUUUUGA